AGGUGAAAAGCACUUCGAACAGAAGAGUGAAAUAGUCCCUGAACCCAUACGCCUACAAGCUGUCGGAGCCGCUUCGUGCGGUGACGGCGUGCCUUUUGCAUAAUGAGCCUACGAGUUACUCAUCACCAGCGAGGUUAAGUACUUCAGGUACGUAAGCCGAAGCGAAAGCGAGUCUGAAUAGGGCGUCAAGUUGGUGGUGGUAGACGCGAAACCUUAGUGAUCUACCCAUGGGCAGGGUGAAGGUUUGGUAACACAAACUGGAGGCCCGAACCGGUAAACGUUGAAAAGUUUUCGGAUGACCUGUGGGUAGGGGUGAAAGGCCAAUCAAACUGGGAAAUAGCUCGUACUCUCCGAAAUGCAUUUAGGUGCAGCCUCUGUUGUUUUGUUCUAGAGGUAGAGCUACUGAUUGGAUGCGAGGGCUUCACCGCCUAUCAAAUCCGGCCAAACUCCGAAUGCUAGAACAUGAAGACAGGGAGUGAGCCAGCGGGUGCUAAGGUCCGUUGACGAAAGAGGGAGAACUCAGACCAUCAGCUAAGGUCCCCAAUUAUAUGCUAAGUUGGAAUAAAAACGGGGUGGGACUGCUUAGACAGCUAGGAUGUUGGCUUGGAAGCAGCCAUUCAUUUAAAGAGUGCGUAACAGCUCACUAGUCGAGCGGUCCUGCAUGGAUAAUACGCGGGCAUAAGCAUAUAACCGAAGCUAUGGGAUUGUAGAUGAUACAAUCGGUAGGAGAGCAUUCCAUUCAGCAUAGAAGCAGUAUCGUGAGGUAUUGUGGAGCGGAUGGAAAAGCAAAUGUAGGCAUAAGUAACGAUAAUGCGGGUGAGAACCCCGCACGCCGAAAGAUCAAGGAUUCCCCGGCAAUGUCAAUCAUCCGGGGGUAAGUCGGAUCCUAAGGGUAAGCCGAGUGGCGAUCCCGAUGGCAAACAGGUUAAUAUUCCUGUACUGAUCAUAACUGCGAUGCAGCGACGCAGAGGUGACACUGCUGCGUACUGACGGAAUAGUACGUUGAAACCCGUAUUCUUUGAUACCGGUAGUGAAGCACGCCGGUAGAGAUGAAAGGUGAUAGUACCGCAAUGCUUCGGUUGCGCGGAUAAUGCAGGUAAGCUGACUGCCAAGAAAACCUGCUAAGCUUCAGGUAAUGAUCAUCCGUACUGUAAACGGACACACGUGAUCAGGUAGAAAAUACUAAGGCGCUCGAGAGAUUCAUGGUUAAGGAACUAGGCAAAAUGGUCCUGUAACUUCGGGAUAAAGGACGCUCUUGUGAAAGAGCCGCAGAUAAUAGGCCCAGGCGACUGUUUACCAAAAACACAUGGCUAUGCUAAUUCGCAAGAAGAUGUAUAUGGCCUGACACCUGCCCGGUGCCGGAAGGUUAAGAGGAGAGCUCAGAUGUAAGUCGAAGGUUUGAAUUGAAGCCCCGGUAAACGGCGGCCGUAACUAUAACGGUCCUAAGGUAGCGAAAUUCCUUGUCGGGUAAGUUCCGACCUGCACGAAUGGUGUAACGAUCUGGGUACUGUCUCAACCAUGAGCUCGGUGAAAUUGUAGUUCCGGUGAAGAUGCCGGAUACCCGCAACGGGACGGAAAGACCCCGUGAACCUUUACUGCAGCUUUGCAUUGAUUUUGGGUAACAGAUGUGUAGGAUAGGUCGGAGGCUUUGAUGCUGCGUCGUCAGGCGUAGAGUAGCCGUCGUUGAAAUACGACCCUUUUGUUAUCUGAGGUCUAAUCCCGUUAGGGAGACAUUGCAUGGUGGGUAGUUUGACUGGGGUGGUCGCCUCCAAAAGUGUAACGGAGGCUUCUCAAGGUACCCUCAAGGCGUUUGGUAAUCGUCUGCAGAGUGCAAUGGCAUAAGGGUGCUUGACUGUGAGACCGACACGUCGAUCAGGUUGGAAACAAGAGCAUAGUGAUCCGGUGGUUCCGCAUGGAAGGGCCAUCGCU
rnacentral:rRNA from 1 species